rnacentral:rRNA from 1 species
GACAUCAGGAGGUUAGUGCAAUGGCAUAAGCCAGCUUGACUGCGAGCGUGACGGCGCGAGCAGGUGCGAAAGCAGGUCAUAGUGAUCCGGUGGUUCUGAAUGGAAGGGCCAUCGCUCAACGGAUAAAAGGUACUCCGGGGAUAACAGGCUGAUACCGCCCAAGAGUUCAUAUCGACGGCGGUGUUUGGCACCUCGAUGUCGGCUCAUCACAUCCUGGGGCUGAAGUAGGUCCCAAGGGUAUGGCUGUUCGCCAUUUAAAGUGGUACGCGAGCUGGGUUUAGAACGUCGUGAGACAGUUCGGUCCCUAUCUGCCGUGGGCGCUGGAGAACUGAGGGGGGCUGCUCCUAGUACGAGAGGACCGGAGUGGACGCAUCACUGGUGUUCGGGUUGUCAUGCCAAUGGCACUGCCCGGUAGCUAAAUGCGGAAGAGAUAAGUGCUGAAAGCAUCUAAGCACGAAACUUGCCCCGAGAUGAGUUCUCCCUGACUCCUUGAGAGUCCUGAAGGAACGUUGAAGACGACGACGUUGAUAGGCCGGGUGUGUAAGCGCAGCGAUGCGUUGAGCUAACCGGUACUAAUGAACCGUGAGGCUUAACCUUACAACGCCGAAGGUGUUU